rnacentral:rRNA from 1 species
AACAGGAUUAGAUACCCUGGUAGUCCACGCCGUAAACGAUGAGUGCUAGGUGUUGGGGGUUUCCGCCCUCUGUGCCGAAGGUAACCCAAUAAGCACUCCGCCUGGGGAGUACGGCCGCAAGGCUGAAACUCAAAGGAAUUGACGGGGGCCCGCACAAGCGGUGGAGCAUGUGGUUUAAUUCGAAGCAACGCGAAGAACCUUACCAGGUCUUGACAUCCCGCUGAUCGGUGUAGAGAUAUGCCUUUCCUUCGGGACAGCGGUGACAGGUGGUGCAUGGUUGUCGUCAGCUCGUGUCGUGAGAUGUUGGGUUCAGUCCCGCAACGAGCGCAACCCUUGUCGUCAGUUGCCAGCACGUAAAGGUGGGCACUCUGGCGAGACGGCCGGUGAAAGCCGGAGGAAGGUGGGGAUGACGUCAAAUCAUCAUGCCCCUUAUGACCUGGGCUACACACGUGCUACAAUGGCCGGUACAACGGGUAGCGAACCCGCGAGGGGGAGCCAAUCCAAAAAACCGGUCUCAGUUCGGAUCGCAGGCUGCAACUCGCCUGCGUGAAGCUGGAAUCGCUAGUAAUCGCGGAUCAGCAUGCCGCGGUGAAUCCGUUCCCGGGCCUUGUACACACCGCCCGUCACACCACGAGAGUCUGCAACACCCGAAGUCGGUGAGGUAACCUUCGGGAACCAGCCGCCGAAGGUGGGGCAGAUGAUUGGGGUGAAGUCGUAACAAGGUAACC